CCUACGGGAGGCAGCAGUGGGGAAUUUUGGACAAUGGGCGAAAGCCUGAUCCAGCAAUGCCGCGUGAGUGAAGAAGGCCUUCGGGUUGUAAAGCUCUUUUGUCAGGGAAGAAACGGUGUGGGCUAAUAUCCUGCACUAAUGACGGUACCUGAAGAAUAAGCACCGGCUAACUACGUGCCAGCAGCCGCGGUAAUACGUAGGGUGCAAGCGUUAAUCGGAAUUACUGGGCGUAAAGCGUGCGCAGGCGGUUUUGUAAGUCUGUCGUGAAAUCCCCGGGCUCAACCUGGGAAUUGCGAUGGAGACUGCAAGGCUAGAAUCUGGCAGAGGGGGGUAGAAUUCCACGUGUAGCAGUGAAAUGCGUAGAGAUGUGGAGGAACACCGAUGGCGAAGGCAGCCCCCUGGGUCAAGAUUGACGCUCAUACACGAAAGCGUAGGGGAGCAAACAGGAUUAGAUACCCUGGUAGUCCACGCCCUAAACGAUGUCUACUAGUUGUCGGGUUUUAAUUAACUUGGUAACGCAGCUAACGCGUGAAGUAGACCGCCUGGGGAGUACGGUCGCAAGAUUAAAACUCAAAGGAAUUGACGG
rnacentral:rRNA from 1 species